AGCGGGCGCCGGGGCGCCGCCGUCGCCCUUCUUCCCUGUUCAGACCUUCCUCGUCGUCUUCCCCUUCCUCCUCCUCCUCUUCUUCUUCCUCUUCUUCUUCUUCAUGGCGGCGCGGGGUCGUCGGUCCUGCAACUGGACCCCCGCCCCCCGCUCCUGCCCGAUGCCCCCUGCCUGGUGCCCGGGGCCCCGGCGGGCGGGCGAGGUUGUGCCCUGCCCACGGGACCCCAUCUCCCAGAGAGAGUACGGAGCUUUUUGGGCAUUUCACUGACCACUCGCACCUCCGCCGGAGGACGGCCAGAGACUGACGUGGAAACCCGAAUCGGUCUCUGGUGCCUCUGCUUAGCAGCUUUGAUAAAAGUUCCAGCGGAGGGAGGCACGGAAACAAAUGGCAAAACGGAUGCGCGUCGGUGGAUUUCCUAUUAGGGUUCUAUCAGCGAGGACAGUUGCGAGCUGGGCCAACCGUUAUCAAUCAGUCGUAUUUAUUGAGUGCUCACCCUGUGCCGAGCACCGUCGAGAGACCGUUGCAUUUCUUGUUCUCUGCCCUGUGCGGUUGUAGAUGGCCCCUGACGAAUGACGUGCAGACAGGUGCAGAAACUCCAGGACCAGGUUUCUCUGCGGGAGAUUCCUGUGGCCGAGAUCCCGAAGCCACGCUUCCCUGAGGACAGAUGAUUUCAAAGCUGCCUUUGAUGAAGACUAUCUACCACCUCAAGUUGGCGGAGCUGGAAAGAAAAGACCAGGACAGAAGGGAGGUAAAAGUCUCAGGAGGAAGGAGGGAAAGGAAUUGUCACUGAAGAAAGACAUCUACCCCAAAAAAUAGUGAAGGGAGAAGAAUGGCCUCUUCCAGAGAGAACGGGUCACACGAUGAGAAUGAAAGAAUGGGGGGACUGGGAAGAAGAAGUCUCCAAAGACAGGAGAGAGGCUUAACAGCCUUCCUGGAAGAACACGUCGAGGGAUGGGGUGGGGGGGACGAGAAGUGUGGCCUGUCCAGGAGAAGAGGACAGGCGAUGCAGACGGAAGGCACGGUGAGAGGAAAGGAAGACGAGGCGGGUGCCCGCCAGAGGUGCGUACUGCCCAAAUCACAUCCUUUUGGAUUAUGGCUUUCCCAGGCACCCUUGUCGAGUCUUCCUCCGUUCAGUUGAAGAAAAUAAUUUAGGGCACGGUUAUGAGAUGCCUCGUUUAAUUACUGCCAACACGAACCUUGCAUUUUUAUCAGUUCCCCAGCUCCGCUGUUCCGGCUGUGGGAUGGGUGUGCAGCUGGGCUGUUCCUGCCAUCAGGAUCUGAAACUUUAUUAAAGAUGUACUAGAGAAGGAGAGAAUGUUUCUGAAAAAUUAAAAUCAGUACUCUUCUUCGUGCCUGCAGCCACCCCAGCUCUUUGGAGUGCAGAGCAAGUGGGUCCCCAACACCGGGGAAUUAAUUUUUUUUAUUCAUUUUGUAAUAAAAAGAAUACCCCCCGCCAUAGCCCCAUGGCAGGUCAUCUCCAGAGAUGAGGGAGCCCCAUUGCCGGGGCAUUUACUUUUGAUUUAUUCAUUCAGUUGUAUUUAUUGAGCAGUUCCUAUGUGAG